rnacentral:lncRNA from 1 species
UUUUUUCGUAUCAUCAAAAACAAGUGAAAUAUCUAAGAUGAUCGAUUUAAGUGGACCACCCUGUAUAUAGCCAAUUAUGUAUGAUCAUGUAUGAUCACAUAGGUCCAUUUUGUCUCGGGUUACUUUAAUGUUUAAUUGGAUUAUCCGAUUAGAUAGGCCAUGAUAUUUUUCUCAGUGUACAAAUUAUCUUGUAAUAUUCUUUGUAUAAUACAGAUUCUUGUAAUAUAUUUCAGCGCUAGAAGCAAUUUUGUUAUCGAAAAUCUUUUCAGAAAUCGCAUUGCAUACAUGGAAAAUAUGCAGCAUAAUAUCAAGUAGUAUAAAAUAAAUAAGAUAAAUAAAAAGAAGAAAGUAAAUAAUGAAUUCUCAACAAAUUAUUGCGCAUAGAAAUUUUUAUUAUUAUUAAAAAAAAUCAAGUUUUUCUUUGGAAAGGAAGAGAAGCUGCUUCAGACAUUCAUAUUUUGAAAAAUAUGCUACCAGCUUCAAUCUAAUAUACAUACUAACACUUUUUAAAUCCAGGACAAAUUUAUUUUACAUUAGGUUUAUAUGGAAGUAUAUUUUCUGGAUGUACAUUAUCGAUAGAAAAGUGUAUUAAAGUACGUAUUAAAUUACAGAUAUACGUGAAAUCUGUACAUGUAUCAAUGAUAUACGUAGCAGUCGAGAUGUUAACGAAGUUUAUAUAUUAUAAUAUAAUAAAAUGAAAUGAAAACAUAAAUUUUAUAUAAUGGUUUUUUAUGAAGUAUGUUAUGAUAAAUGUAAAGAUUAAAAUAUCAAAUGAUGAUACAAUAGAAUGCAACUAACUCAUGUAAAUCCAUGUUUUUAGGUUGUAUAAAAAAAAGAAAAAUAUGUGAAAACAAGAUAAUUAUGUAAAACAUUAUACUCACGUAUUCCCUAUACAAGAUAUGGAAACAUCAUUAAUAUAUUGAAAAGGUAUAGGAAAGUUGAAGUAUAGAAAAAUUGAGAGGAAAGAAAAGAAUACCUAUGAUAUAACAUGAGUACGUAAAGUGAGCUUGAAUAUACAACAUCUUCCUUGCAAAACGGACUCUUCAAAAGAUUCAAGGUACCUGGGUUCGCAGCUGCUUCGAAGAAUGUUACAGAAAUAGAAGAUUGUAAGAAGAGGAUUAUGUGACACUUGGAAGAGUGUAGAAUAUAUCAAAAGACAUGCACAGAAGCACGAUAAAAGACAUGUGACGUAUUCGCUUGAAUUUCACUUGAUAAAAAUGGUGGUAUAUCGGAAAAUCUUUAAUAGAAGUAUAAGUGGUUUUCCAAAAGCAAACGCUUCUCCUUCUAAUGUAAACAGGGUAUAUCGUUCUACUAGUUUACGCAAGAAAAUUCGAUUCCGUUAAUACUGUCUGCAAUCUUCGUCAACUGCGAGAAGUUGUUACGAAAUGAAGAGUUAAAUUAUAUGACAAGUUAAAAAAAUAUUAGAUUAGAACUGCUAACUUGGUUGGAUGAGGAAAAGAAAGUAAAUAUUGGUUUCUCUAAUUGUAAUUGUAAUAAAUAAUUUUAUCAGAUUUAAUAAAUGUACAUAUCAUAAUUUUUCUGAACAUUUCUGAACAUUUUCUGAACAAAUCUCUAAAUAAUUAAUGUCAUUAUUCUACUGUGCACUGCUAUCUAAA